UAUGUCACAUAUCUUGACAUGCAGACAUGCACACGUUAAACCCAUAGAUACAUACACGUAU
rnacentral:tRNA from 1 species